rnacentral:rRNA from 1 species
CUACGGGUGGCUGCAGUGGGGAAUAUUGGGCAAUGGGCGCAAGCCUGACCCAGCAACGCCGCGUGAGGGAAGAAGGUUUUCGGAUUGUAAACCUCUGUCCUUGGGGACGAAGAAGUGACGGUACCCAAGGAGGAAGCUCCGGCUAACUACGUGCCAGCAGCCGCGGUAAUACGUAGGGAGCAAGCGCUGUCCGGAAUUACUGGGCGUAAGGGGUGCGUAGGCGGCAUAUUAAGUCAGGUGUGAAAUACUCGGGCUCAACCCGGGGGCUGCAUUUGGAACUGAUAUGCUUGAGUGUGAGAGAGGAAAGUGGAAUUCCUAGUGUAGCGGUGGAAUGCGUAGAUAUUAGGAGGAACACCAGUGGCGAAGGCGACUUUCUGGCUCAUAACUGACGCUGAGGCACGAAAGCGUGGGGAGCAAACAGGAUUAGAUACCCCAGUAGUC